rnacentral:rRNA from 1 species
GAUGGACGCUAGCGGCAGGCUUAAUACAUGCAAGUCGUGGGGCAGCAGGUCUGUAGCAAUACAGAUGCUGGCGACCGGCAAACGGGUGCGGAACACGUACACAACUUUCCUUUAAGUGGGGAAUAGCCCAGAGAAAUUUGGAUUAAUACCCCGUAACAUAGUGAAAAGGCAUCUUUUUAUUAUUAUAGCAGCAAUGCGCUUAAUGAUGGGUGUGCGUCUGAUUAGGUAGUUGGCGGAGUAAUAGCCCACCAAGCCUACGAUCAGUAACUGGUGUGAGAGCACGACCAGUCACACGGGCACUGAGACACGGGCCCGACUCCUACGGGAGGCAGCAGUAAGGAAUAUUGGGCAAUGGACGCAAGUCUGACCCAGCCAUGCCGCGUGGAGGAUGAAGGUCCUCUGGAUUGUAAACUUCUUUUAUCUGGGAAGAAAUCCAUCUUUUCUUGGGUGGUUGACGGUACCAGAUGAAUAAGCACCGGCUAACUCUGUGCCAGCCGCCGCAGUAG